rnacentral:rRNA from 1 species
AUUGAACGCUGGCGGCAUGCUUUACACAUGCAAGUCGAGCGGCAGCGCGGGGGCAACCCUGGCGGCGAGCGGCGGACGGGUGAGUAAUGCAUCGGAACGUAUCCCGUAGUGGGGGACAACCCAGCGAAAGCUGGGCUAAUACCGCAUAUGCUCUACGGAGGAAAGCAGGGGACUCGCAAGAGCCUUGUGCUAUGGGAGCGGCCGAUGUCCGAUUAGCUAGUUGGUGGGUAAAGGCUUACCAAGGCGACGAUCGGUAGCUGGUCUGAGAGGAUGAUCAGCCACACUGGGACUGAGACACGGCCCAGACUCCUACGGGAGGCAGCAGUGGGGAAUUUUGGACAAUGGGGGCAACCCUGAUCCAGCCAUGCCGCGUGCGGGAAGAA